GUCGUAACAAGGUCUCCGUUGGUGAACCAGCGGAGGGAUCAUUACCGAGUUAUACAACUCCCAAACCCACUGUGAACCUUACCUCAGUUGCCUCGGCGGGAACGCCCCGGCCGCCUGCCCCCGCGCCGGCGCCGGACCCAGGCGCCCGCCGCAGGGACCCCAAACUCUCUUGCAUUACGCCCAGCGGGCGGAAUUUCUUCUCUGAGUUGCACAAGCAAAAACAAAUGAAUCAAAACUUUCAACAACGGAUCUCUUGGUUCUGGCAUCGAUGAAGAACGCAGCGAAAUGCGAUAAGUAAUGUGAAUUGCAGAAUUCAGUGAAUCAUCGAAUCUUUGAACGCACAUUGCGCCCGCCAGCAUUCUGGCGGGCAUGCCUGUUCGAGCGUCAUUUCAACCCUCGAGCCCCCCCGGGGGCCUCGGUGUUGGGGGACGGCACACCAGCCGCCCCCGAAAUGCAGUGGCGACCCCGCCGCAGCCUCCCCUGCGUAGUAGCACACACCUCGCACCGGAGCGCGGAGGCGGUCACGCCGUAAAACGCCCAACUUUCUUAGAGUUGACCUCGGAUCAGGUAGG
rnacentral:rRNA from 1 species